rnacentral:rRNA from 1 species
GAUGAACGCUAGCUACAGGCUUAACACAUGCAAGUCGAGGGGAAACGAUAUUGGAAGCUUGCUUCUGAUAGGCGUCGACCGGCGCACGGGUGAGUAACGCGUAUCCAACCUGCCCAUCACUUGGGGAUAACCUUGUGAAAGUAAGACUAAUACCCAAUGACGUCUCUAGAAGACAUCUGAAAGAGAUUAAAAGAUUUAUCGGUGAUGGAUGGGGAUGCGUCUGAUUAGCUUGUUGGCGGGGUAACGGCCCACCAAGGCGACGAUCAGUAGGGGUUCUGAGAGGAAGGUCCCCCCACAUUGGAACUGAGACACGGUCCAAAACUCCUACGGGAGGCAGCAGUGAGGAAUAUUGGUCAAUGGACGAGAGUCUGAACCAGCCAAGUAGCGUGCAGGAUGACGGCCCUAUGGGUUGUAAACUGCUUUUAUAAGGGAUAAAGUGGGAGUCGUGACUCUUUUUGCAUGUACCUUAUGAAUAAGGACCGGCUAAAUUCCGUGCCAGCA